GCUAGCGUAGCAUAAAUUAAAGCAUGACACUGAAGAUGUUAAGAUGGACCCUAGAAAGUUCCGCAGGCA
rnacentral:tRNA from 1 species